rnacentral:lncRNA from 1 species
AAUAAUAGAAUUAAUACUUACAUAUGAUUUGCAUUUGAUAAUAAAAAGAAAGAGAAAAAUGAAAGAUAAAAUAAAUAUUGUCUAUUAUGUUCAACAAAUUUGGCAGUAUGUUCAGCCAAAUUAUGCAUUACGUCCAGUCCAAUAUUUCAAAAAAAAUUAUUUAGCGUUGUGGCUCUUGGUGUUGAGUCCACUGUUGUGAAGCAAAAAAUAAAAAUAAAAACGUUGGGACCGAUGAAAAACUAGUAUGUGAAAAGUA